AGCAGUAGCCACGGGAAUACGAAGGGUGCAAGCGUUAAUCGGAAUUACUGGGCGUAAAGCGUGCGUAGGCGGUGAGUUAAGUCUGCUGUGAAAUCCCCGGGCUCAACCUGGGAAUGGCAGUGGAUACUGGCUCGCUAGAGUGUGGUAGAGGAUAGUGGAAUUUCCGGUGUAGCAGUGAAAUGCGUAGAGAUCGGAAGGAACAUCUGUGGCGAAGGCGACUAUCUGGGCCAACACUGACACUGAGGCACGAAAGCGUGGGGAGCAAACAGGAUUAGAUACCCCAGUAGUCCCUGUCUCUUAUAC
rnacentral:rRNA from 1 species